rnacentral:lncRNA from 1 species
UCUCUUAUUUUAUGUUUGUUUCUUUCAUUGAGGACAAUGCAUAUUUUAAGUGUGGGGGAGGGAAUACUUUAUUCUCUUUGUUUUUGUUCUUUGUUUUGUUUUGUUUUUGUUUUGUUUUUAAAAAAAAUUGCAUUUUUGUUGAAAGUUUUAGGCUAUAGAAUAAUUUGAGGUCGAGUUUGCGGAGACUUGGGAAAAAUUCACAAGAUCGGUAUUGUUUUAACACCGUAAGUCUCCUGCAUAUGGCAAUUGAGUUGAAU